rnacentral:rRNA from 1 species
UGGGGAAUUUUGGACAAUGGGCGAAAGCCUGAUCCAGCAAUGCCGCGUGUGCGAAGAAGGCCUUCGGGUUGUAAAGCACUUUUGUCCGGAAAGAAAUCCGCCUGGCUAAUACCCGGGCGGGAUGACGGUACCGGAAGAAUAAGCACCGGCUAACUACGUGCCAGCAGCCGCGGUCAUACGUAGGGUGCGAGCGUUAAUCGGAAUUACUGGGCGUAAAGCGUGCGCAGGCGGUUUUGUAAGACAGAUGUGAAAUCCCCGGGCUUAACCUGGGAACUGCGUUUGUGACUGCAAGGCUGGAGUACGGCAGAGGGGGGUGGAAUUCCACGUGUAGCAGUGAAAUGCGUAGAGAUGUGGAGGAACACCGAUGGCGAAGGCAGCCCCCUGGGCCUGUACUGACGCUCAUGCACGAAAGCGUGGGGAGCAAACA